UACAGAGGUCUCAAGCGUUUGUUCGGAUUCAUUGGGCGUAAAGGGUGCGUAGGCGGCGGGGCAAGUCAGGUGUGAAAUCUCGGGGCUCAACUCCGAAACUGCAUUUGAUACUGCCUUGCUAGAGUACUGGAGAGGAGAUUGGAAUUUACGGUGUAGCAGUGAAAUGCGUAGAUAUCGUAAGGAAGACCAGUGGCGAAGGCGAAUCUCUGGACAGUUACUGACGCUGAGGCACGAAGGCCAGGGGGAGCAAAACGGGG
rnacentral:rRNA from 1 species